GAUGAACGCUGGCGGCGUGCCUAAUACAUGCAAGUCGAGCGAACAGACGAGGAGCUUGCUCCUUUGACGUUAGCGGCGGACGGGUGAGUAACACGUGGAUAACCUACCUAUAAGACUGGGAUAACUUCGGGAAACCGGAGCUAAUACCGGAUAACAUGUUGAACCGCAUGGUUCAACAGUGAAAGACGGUCUUGCUGUCACUUAUAGAUGGAUCCGCGCCGCAUUAGCUAGUUGGUAAGGUAACGGCUUACCAAGGCAACGAUGCGUAGCCGACCUGAGAGGGUGAUCGGCCACACUGGAACUGAGACACGGUCCAGACGCCUACGGGAGGCAGCAGUAGGGAAUCUUCCGCAAUGGGCGAAAGCCUGACGGAGCAACGCCGCGUGAGUGAAGAAGGUCUUCGGAUCGUAAAACUCUGUUAUUAGGGAAGAACAAAUGUGUAAGUAACUAUGCACGUCUUGACGGUACCUAAUCAGAAAGCCACGGCUAACUACGU
rnacentral:rRNA from 1 species